rnacentral:lncRNA from 1 species
CCAUUUGAAUGGCCUUUUCUUUUUCCUUCGACAAUGCCUUCGCCUAGCCACAGCAGCUCCCUCAUACAGACUCCGCAAGCCAAGAGGCCGUGGAGGCAAAUGCAGACAGCCAGCACACCUCGAACAGCCACCUUGACUGCGGGUGUGUCACCCUAGUCGCCAAGGAAACAUUUGAGGGAAAGCGACAGGCAAUGUGAACAGCCACUUCUCCAUGUAAACGAUACUCUUUCUCUCGGAUGACUCCUACGUUCGCCACGCCAGCACACUUGUGCACAAAGAUGCCGCGGAGGCACGUGCAGGUCAGAGGCAAGAAGCAGUGGCACUGGUGUCGACAUUCGCCCAAUUUCUUUUUCUUACACUGAGGCAGCCAGCACACCUCGAACAGCCACCUUAACUGCGGGUGUGUUAGUAGAUUCCUGUUGUACAUAUGCUCAUAAUAAACUUCAGUAAACUUGAACUUGAUAAUAAACUUGAAGGCAAA